rnacentral:rRNA from 1 species
GACGAACGCUGGCGGCGUGCUUAACACAUGCAAGUCGAACGGAAAGGCCCUGCUUUUGUGGGGUGCUCGAGUGGCGAACGGGUGAGUAACACGUGAGUAACCUGCCCUUGACUUUGGGAUAACUUCAGGAAACUGGGGCUAAUACCGGAUAGGAGCUCCUGCUGCAUGGUGGGGGUUGGAAAGUUUCGGCGGUUGGGGAUGGACUCGCGGCUUAUCAGCUUGUUGGUGGGGUAGUGGCUUACCAAGGCUUUGACGGGUAGCCGGCCUGAGAGGGUGACCGGCCACAUUGGGACUGAGAUACGGGCCAGAGUCCUACGGGAGGCAGCGGUGGGGAAUAUUGCACAAUGGGCGGAAGCCUGAUGCAGCAACGCCGCGUGCGGGAUGACGGCCUUCGGGUUGUAAACCGCUUUCGCCUGUGACGAAGCGUGAGUGACGGUAAUGGGUAAAGAAGCACCGGCUAACUACGUG